GUAGGAUAGUACAGUGGUAAUGCUGCCGUCCUUCACAUGGGAGACCAAGGUUCGAAUCCUACGAUAUGACA